rnacentral:lncRNA from 1 species
UAUUGAAGAACAGGUUUAGAAGGAGUGGGGAAGAUUGAGUGGAGGAAGAUAAGGGUGAUUUACCAGAGUGUAAGAUAUCUGAAUCACGUUUCUAAAAGUAGAUGAGUUCUAUAAGAUGAUGAAUUCUAAAAUGUGGUUACUGAAUUGCUAAAGUGGAGUAGAGGUGAUAUUUGUUGAAGUUGAGUGAGCUCAAGAAAUUGUGAGGCUACAUUGUUGAAGUUAUCAAGUGAAUUAGGGUAACUAAUGCUAGCUGUAACAACAGAUAAACCUGGAAAUAUCAGCAGAUUAACACAACAGAGAUUUGUCUUGCACUCAUGUAAAGUCUGAUAGGUUGGUAAGCAUUCACCUCUAUCCAGUAAUUUAAGAUUAAGGUUCCCGUCAUAUUGAAAUAUUUCCAAAUCAACACAAAGAUUCCAAGGUUGCUACAGCAGGAAAAGAGAAGAGAUGGACUAGGCCUAUUGACUCUUAUCUACUACAUCAACUCAGAAGUAACAGAUAUCAUUUCAGCUCACAGUUCAUUGGUCAGUAAAAUUUAUAUGGCUCUGAUUACUGAAAGGGAAGUUAAGAAAUGUAAGGGAGCCAGUGAAAUAUUUGGGGAGUACUAACUAUUUCAGCCACAUUCAACAGGACUUGGGGUAGUGAGGAGCAUUAUAAGUCAAGUGUUAAAGUUCUGGAUGAACAUGUGUAUAUGUGCAUCUUGGAAGGGAGAAGAGGCAACCAAAAAGGUGGAGAGAAAGUGGUAUAUCUAAAAUGGUUUAAAAAGGGAGAAGGUUUUGAGUGAGGGUUAAAAAGGUAUAAUCUAGAAACUUCUAUAGGAAACUUACAAAAAUGCUAUACUAUGUCCAGGUCUCAUGCUCUGGGUAAGACUCGAAUUGGAACCAGAUUGUGGUGGGAAUUGAAAGCAGAUUAAAGCUGUUGCCGAAUCAUGGAGGCAAAAGCAUAAAAUGGCAUGAUAAAAAGUACCAUGUAGUAGGAUGAUUUUGGCAGUGGCAUUCAGAAUGUAUUGGACAAGGUCGAUACUUGAGGCAAGAAAAUGAUUAGAUAAUGGGUGCCGGACCAAUCAUGGUCACAGUGGGAAUCCAAUGUCAUAUACAGGAGACACUAAGGGAGAAAUAUCAAGUUUUGGUAACGAACAGUUGCUGCAUAUUUUAUCUGCCUCCAGCAUGCAUUCAAAGAAAAGAACAAACUGGCCUUGGAAGGGGGUGGGACACAAGAAAAGAUGGAUUAGAUAUUUAUAAAAAGGCCAACAAGGAUAGACGAAGGGGCAGAAAGAUUAAAGGUGAAGGAAAGAUGUAGAGAAAGAGCCUGAAGUAAAGGACCAAUGGGCUCCAAUCACGCAUGACCUCCAGGAUAGGAAGCAUAAGGCAAUGGGGAUUAUUGGUAACUGAAGGCCAUACACUGGAUCUUCUGGCAUCUAAGCCAGUUGUUGGCAACCUUUUAGAGUUGGCUUGCCAAGUCAGCAUUUAUUCAGUCUUAAUUUCAGGCUUUGCAUGUCAAUAAUAAAUUUCUCCACUUAGAACAUCUUUCUGUAUAACUAAACUGUUGUUAUAUGGGAAGUUAUUUUUAAAAGUUUAAAGACUAAAAAGCUGCAUUUAAAAUGAAAUUAUAAAGCAUAUUUAAUGAGGUUCCUUUUAUAUUUUGUCUUUUUUGCCCAGUUGAGUUCUCCAAGUUCCUGUAUAAAUUUGUAUACUCAAAGCUGUGCUCAAAUCUAUCUCAAACUCUUUGUGUACAGCCCCAAUCUUACUAGCUUCAGAACUGUUAUUAUCAUAAACUGUUGCUUACAGCAUGAGGCAUAAGUUAAAGGCACAAGGGACCAGAGGUUAUCCUCUGAUGGGUCUGAAGUCGCUUGAGGUCAAGGGUACAAAUGAUAGAGGAAUCGCAAGGUGCUGUGGGAGCACAAAGAAGAGAGAUGUAAACUAGUCUGUGACUCGGGAACAGGUCUCUCUGAAAUAUGAAGCAUGAGUAACAUAGUGUGGAGGGAGGCCUAGAAUUGAAAGAGCAUGUGAUAUGUUUGAGAAAUUGAACAAAAUUCAGGGCAGGUGGAAUAUAGAAAAAUAAAAGAUAAUGGUGUGAGAUGAGUGGAGAGGUUAGCAGGGUUCAAAGCUUAGGAGGUAAGGCAAGAAAAAAAAUCCCUCUUAGUGGUGUAGAAUGCAGGCAUAACACUUUGAAUUAUUUCUUAUUUUGGCCAAUAAUAAACCAAAUAUUUUUCUAAAUGUUUUAUAGAAAUUAGCUUAUUCAUACUUUAUAAGUCCUAUUAUUUCUCCCAUAUAAGAGAUAAGGAAACUGAGGAAUAGAAUGGUGAAAUAACUUGUCCAAGAUCACAUAGUGACAAAAUUGAGACUCAGACCCAAAAUGUCUGGCUCCAGAGUUUGUGUUCCUAAGCACUCUAUAAUACUGUCUUAUGCCAUUGUAAUGUGCCUUCUUGGGACAAAUAAAUAAGAUUUUCUUUAGAAUUAUUAAUGGUAUUAAUUCAGAAGCAAGAACAUUUUUCAGUAUAGGGCCAUUGGACUCUAGGACACUCCAUGGAUGGCAGAGGCCCAGGAAAAUCCACCAAAAGGAAAAAGGGCAUAUAUUCGUGUGCAUGCACACACACGUGAAAAUUGAAUUUUGUUAAAACAGAUAUUUUAUUACUUCUGAUGGUGGGAAGAUGGAGUAGAUUUACUUUCUUCUAUUCCUUCCAAUUAAGUACAAGUAAACCCUGGACAUUAUGUAUGAAAUUAAGGUGAGAAGACAGAAAUAGAAGAAAGCAGACUGGCUAGGAAACUUAGGACUCAAAGAAUGACACGAUGGCGAAUUCCCUGGGUUUUCCUCAUAUAUCACAGACAUGGAACUGAAAGAAACCUUCAACUGGAAAAUGCCUACAGUUAAAAACAAAAAGGUUCUUGCAAAAGCCUCUUUAUAGCCAAAUGGCCAAGAAAGGGAAAGCCUAACAAGAUAGAAAACAUUUUAGGUAAUAAUAACUGUUCUACUCCAGCUAAACGCUAAAGAUAAAACGGUGGCCCCACCUCUAUCCAUGCUAGUAAAGGACAAGAAUGGAGUCUACUUCUCCCUCGAGUCUGUAAUCAGGCAGCACAACACUCUCACCUAGAGGCUAAAGUCAGAGAAGGCAAAAUAGGGAGUUAGGACUUUUAUCACUGCCAGCUGGUAACAAGGUCAAGUCCUUACCUCCCCCACAGUGUAAGUGGAGACUGCAUGGGGAACCUGGACAUCCACCCCUGUUAGCAGCAAUGAGGCACUUUGCCCCCUCCCUGUCUAUGGUAUUGUCAGAGGAAGCCUAGUGAAGAGUAACAGCUAUCAGUAUUAGCCAGUAGUCAUAAGGCCGCUCUACCUCAUGGUGUCAUUAGAUGCCAUGUGGAGAGUAGUAAUGAGGCACUCUUACCCCUCCCAAUCAAUGGUAUAUCAGUAGUAGGGAGCUAAAAAAUGCCACUACCAUGCAACAAUAAUGAGGAAGCCGUACUUGAAUGUCAAAAGAGGCCAAGUAGGAUUGUGUAUAAAAUAAGCUACAGGGGUGUAUUGUACAACAUAGGGAAUAUAGCCAAUAUUUUAUAAUAACUAAAAGAAAUGAUUAAGAUUAUAAGUUUUAAGUUAUGUGUAUUUUACCACAAUAAAAAAUUAGGAAAAGAAAAGAGGCUGAGUAGGGAAAGAGGCAGCUGGCAGUAGCUGGCAGUAACAAGGUACAUUCCUCUUCUCGGCUAGAACACUCUGUAGAAACAAGAUAAAGCAGAUUUAAAUAAGAUCCAGAAUCUCAUAUAAUAAUAGCCCCAAUAUUUAGUUUUCAAUACAAAAUUACUUAUCAUACCAAGAACCAAAAAAAAAAAACUAAAUCUGAAUGAAAUACUACCACAGAUGUUUACAUAUACCAAAGCUCAUCAAAGUGUCCUCAUUAAAUUUGUACAGUCAUUUGAAUGUCAAUUAUACUUCAAUAAAGUUCUUUUUAAAAAGACAAUCAAUAGGUCCCAACACCAAGAUGACAGAAAUAUUAAAAUUAUCUACCAAAUAUUUCAAAUCAGCUUCAUAAAAAUUCUUCAACAUUCAAAUACUUACAUGCUUGAAAGAAAUGAAAAAAUAGACUCUUGCAAAAAAAUAGAAAGCCUCAGUAAGAAAUAGGAGAUAUGAAGAAGAACCAAAUGAAAAUUGGAAAACUUAAAAAUCUAAUU